GCCCCCCAGCCCACUGAUAGCAACCAUCAUAAUGCCCCACCCAGCUUCCGGCACCUUUCGCCACUCCGGCACAAACCGACACAGCUUUGCGAUCUCGCCAGCAUGCAGAGUCUGAUGUCUUCCCUAUAGAUGAUUCCAGAGACUCUGUGAGGCCACUAUUGCAAGGUGAGACGCUUUGCGUUGAUUGGUGCUGCUGGACCACACUGGAGGUGCGAGUCCGCCGUGUAAUGGUUUAUGCCAUUACAAAGGAGCUGGCCUCUGUACUCAACUGGGCAGGGAAAAAAAACCAAGGACCAGACAAAGCAAAAAAGGGCAUUUAAAGAGACAGCGCCGUGCAGAUGCAUAUUUGAUGGCCUGGCGCAGCAGGUAGGGGCGAACUCUAUGUCUGAGUUGGUCUUUGCUCAAGCAGUCCAGAAAUGGCUCAGAUAUGCUCCAGAUCGUACGGGUGGCGCGCAGGACGCACAUCAUCCAUCCCCAUCCCGGAGUAAAUAAUAAAAAGUGACGUGAAACAUAGAAAUGUAAAUAGGAAACUUUGUCUUUUAAUAAAGUAUUUUGCAAAUGAUACAUGUCUAUUGACCUUUUUUGGUUUUUUGGUUUUUUUUCAAUAAAAAGCAACUGUGCGAAAGAGGUGGAAAAUCAAUACCAUAGCUCAACAGUGUUUCAAUAUCAGAAUCUGACAUUGUUUCAAUGUCAACAGUGUUAGAAAAUAUAACGUCGAAUCAAUGUCAGGUUUCAACAUUGAUUCAACAUCAAAACCUGACG